AGUGAACGCUGGCGGCGUGCCUAACACAUGCAAGUCGAACGAGAAAGGCUGGGGAAACUUGGCCGAGUAAAGUGGCGCACGGGUGAGUAACGCGUGAGUGACCUAACCUAGAGUCGGGGAUAACCUUGCGAAAGUGGGGCUAAUACCCGAUGAAACUUAGUCUGGGGUAACCGGAUUAGGGAAAGCUAGCCUUUAGGGGGGCUGGUGCUCUAGGAUGGGCUCGCGUCCUAUCAGCUAGUUGGUGAGGUAAAGGCUCACCAAGGCUAAGACGGGUAGCUGGUCUGAGAGGAUGGCCAGCCACACUGGAACUGAGACACGGUCCAGACUCCUACGGGAGGCAGCAGUGAGGGAUAUUGCGCAAUGGCCGCAAGGCUGACGCAGCGACGCCGCGUGGGCGAGGAAGGUCUUCGGAUCGUAAAGCCCUGUCGGCGGGGAAGAAAGGGCUGUGGGUGAAUAGCCCAUAGUUUUGACGGUACCUGCGGAGGAAGCACCGGCUAACUCCGUGCCAGCAGCCGCGGUAAUACGGAGGGUGCUAGCGUUACUCGGAAUCACUGGGCGUAAAGGGCGCGUAGGCGGCUAGGCAAGUCUGGUGUGAAAGCCCAGGGCUCAACCCUGGAAGGGCACUGGAAACUGCCUGGCUUGAGUUCCGGAGAGGAGGGGGGAAUUCCCGGUGUAGCGGUGAAAUGCGUAGAUAUCGGGAGGAAUACCGGUGGCGAAGGCGCCCCUCUGGACGGAAACUGACGCUGAGGCGCGAAAGCGUGGGGAGCAAACA
rnacentral:rRNA from 1 species